rnacentral:lncRNA from 1 species
CGACUCUGGUUUUGUCGACGUUAAGCAUAUCCAUAACUUAGUGGUUAUGAAUUUACCGCUACAUCACCAUCUAAAUACAUUGUUAGAUAAAACUAAAAGGAUCAAAUACACUUUACCCCCUACAAAUUUAGUGAGUUUCAGUUUAUUCCUCCGUAUUAGUUUUUUCUUAUCCCCCCUUUUAAUGUAAAGAUUCUGGAUGUUUGGCCCCCCAUCGACACUUGGCACACAAAAGCUUUCAUUUUUAAUGACUUAGCAUGUGUUGUCCAGUCUAAUUGGCAUUUUAU